GAUGAACGCUGGCGGCGUGCCUAAUACAUGCAAGUCGAUCGCACAGAUGAGGAUCUUGCUCCUCUUACGUUAGCGGCGGACGGGUGAGUAACACGUGGAUAACCUACCUAUAAGACUGGGAUAACUUCGGGAAACCGGAUCUAAUACCGCAUAAUAUAUUCAACCGCAUGGUUCAUUAGUGAAAGACGGUUUUGCUGUCACUUAUAGAUGUAUCCGCGCCGCAUUAGCUAGUUGGUAAGGUAACGGCUUACCAAGGCAACGAUGCGUAGCCGACCUGAGAGGGUGAUCGGCCACACUGGAACUGAGACACGGUCCAGACUCCUACGGGAGGCAGCAGUAGGGAAUCUUCCGCAAUGGGCGAAAGCCUGACGGAGCAACGCCGCGUGAGUGAUGAAGGUCUUCGGAUCGUAAAACUCUGUUAUUAGGGAAGAACAAAUGUGUAAGUAACUAUGCACGUCUUGACGGUACCUAAUCAGAAAGCCACGGCUAACUACGUG
rnacentral:rRNA from 1 species